ensembl:lncRNA
CUUUAUUAUACAUCAACUUCAAAGAGACUGUACUUGGCCCCUUGGACAGGACUCAGAGCAGAAUUUCCCAAUCAGAAAUCAGGGGCAGAAAAAGGAGACCAGGACCCAUGGGUGAAUUUUCCUGGAUUAGUGGUUUUCCUUUAAUAAUCUAUUUAGUGUCUUGGGGGAAGGAGGUUGCAUGUGCUGUAUGCCAGGUACAGCGCUGGGGCCAGGUGGACACAAAAGUGAAUGAAACACAGUCCCCCUGGCUCUCCCCACCUGACACGGAGGAACUGGGCUUGGACACCCUGCAUCUGGGAGAAGGGGUGCAGUGUGGUGUCUAUGGCACCAGCUCUGCAGUCAGAAGGCCAGGGUUUUUGUGCUCUGGCUCUGCUGCUUGUGGGCUCUGUGGCAUCGGGCAAGCUACUUGUCUUCUCUGUGCCUCACAUUGUGUAUCAGCAGAGUUAAAUACAAAACCUGCCUUAUGGGGUUCCUGUGGUGAUUUGAUGAGUUUAAAAAGUGAAGGUACUUCAGCACAGUGCUUGGCACUUGUGCUUACUGCUCUCAUCCAGGCAUGGAGGAAGCGCACGAGAGGGCAGAGGAGUGCGCAGCUGAGGGCCUGCGGGCAGCCGGGGAGCUUCAAAGAGCCCCGGAUAUUUGAUUUGCACCUGAGAGGCAAGAAUGGACACUUGCCUCCUGUUCCUCCGGGUCCCGAGAAACGGGUGUGUUUCUGCGUUCACCUUCCCAGCACUUCUGAGAUCCCACUGCAAGGAGCAGCUGGGCUUCCUUUGCAUCUCUGCCGCAUCUGUCUUCUCCCCAGUCUGUCUGCAGGUCACCAGCAUGAACCGAAAUGA